rnacentral:tmRNA from 1 species
CCUAUAUCUUGGAUGUUCCGGCUUGCCGGGACUAUGGCGAUAAACGCACCCGUAAUACGCGGAUCGGACCCGGGGGCGGUACCCGGCGGCUCCACCAGACUAUCCCUCGUUGGGGGCGGAUGGGGCCGAAACAGGAUCGACGAACGUCCAAAGGGGCCAGCUUUCGCUCGGUGAGCUACCACCGUUAUCGGUGCAAAAGUACAGUUGCCAACGACAACCGUGCUCCGGUCGCGCUGGCUGCGUAAGCAGUUCGCAAGACCAAAACUUAAGCCCUUGCGCUUAGCCGCGUAAGGCGGGGUUCGCAGGUACCUGGCAACAGAAACCUG